CCAGUCUUCGUCAUAGCGUCAAGAGGAUAGUUGUGGUUCGUGAAGAGUCAAGAGUUCAUUUUUAUUUUAUAUCUUUAAGCUUUGUGUUUUACUGCAGAACCAAAGACCAUUUUGUCAGCGAAUUACUAGGUCUGGAGUGAUCUAGAGAUGAAAGUGGUCGCAUGAAAUUCUCGUAUAAGGAAGUCAGCAGAGUUGUAACAUUUAAAACUGCCACGUUUUGUGGUAAACUGCUAUAAUCGAAGAAAGAGAAUUGGCUGAAAUCUCGAGUUACUGAAUAGACAAGUCUCUUUUGUAGUUUAUAAUGUCUACGAUGCUGAUUAUCACACCCAGCGAGUAGUACUAUCUACGGUCGUAAACCACGAAUCCUAAAACUUCAUUGUUGCCGAAGGGGAUAGAGGAGAGGAGCCAGAACAUUCAGUUUAUAGUGGGUGAGAAGCUGCAAGAAGCCGAACAUUGUAAAGAAGAGAUCGUCCCGAAAACAUUCGCCAGCCUGUGCGACAAAGGAUGAGCAGAGAAAAAGAAGUGACCGACGGUGCGACUGACAGAGAAGAGAAGUUGCUGCUUUUAGGAAAACAUCAGUCUGAGCGACAAACAAGUAGUAGAAUAUAAGAGGAAGAAAAAAUCCGGUGCGGUAAAAUCUAAGAGCAGGAGCCAGUCCGACACAACCAAGAAAAGAAAGUGGCGUUGUGGCAGAACCACGAAAGCCCGGGCGACAAUUUCCGCGUUAAGAGAAGUAAUUACUAGCGCUCCCAGAGGAGAGGAAUAAGCAGAUAAGGUCCUCACUGAAUUAAAAUAUAGAAAAAUUAAAUGUUAUAAAUAAAGUACCUACAACUAGUAUAUUAUUAAUCAACGUGAAGAACCAGUAGCUUUACUAAUUAAUAUUUGUGGCAAUAGCAGUGAAUUUAUUUUCUAAAUCUUAUUUUAACUACUACUUUCGCAGUAAUUUUGUUUAAAGUUCCCCACUCUCUCUUUACCGUCCUCUUUCCUCUACUUUCUCCAUGCACUGUACCUGGGUUUAUAUUACGUUCUACCUCAAGUUCCAUUCUCUAAACUCUACAGUCAAUAUCUCUGAUCUAUGUUUUGUUCUUCCUCAGGUUUCUC